CAAGGUCUCACUCUGUUGCCCACGCUGGACUACAGUGGCAUGAUCUCAGCUCACUGCAACAUCUGCCUCCCAGGCUCAAGCAAUCCUCUUACCUUGAAGCAGAAGAUGCAAGAAGAAAAAAAACAAACUUUCUUCCUUUCCUGUGAAAGGCCAUGUGAGGACACAGCAAUCCAAGGAGAAGACCCUCAUUAGACACUGACCUGCUGGCACCCUGAUCUUGGACUUCCAGUCUCCAGAAUUGCUUUUAGAAAAACAGUGGCACCACACCACACCCAGGACCUGGAAUAGGUGGAAUGGCAGCCCCUCAAAAUAUAUGUCCAUGUCUUAAUGCCGAGCCGCUGUGAAUGUGGCCUUAUUUGGAGAAGGGGUUUUUGCAGAUUAAUUAAAUUAAGGACCCUGAGAUGAGAUCAUCCUGUAUUACCAAGGUGGGCCCCAAAUCCAAUGACAGAUGUCCUUAUAAGAGACACAGGAGGAGAAGACACAGACACAGAGGAGAAGGCCCUGUGAAUACAGAGGCAGAAACUGGAGUACGCAGCCACCAUUCAAGGCAUUUGGUCAGCCACAGAAGCUGGAAAAGGAAGUGGAAUCUCUCCUAGAGCCUGUGGAGGGAGCACAGCCUUGCCAACACCUCGACUUCAGAUUUCUGUUUUCCAGAACUCUGAGAGAAUAAAUUGCUGUUGUUUAAGCCACUAAGUUGACAGGAAUUUGCUAUGGCAGCCCUAGGAAACUCACAUAACACCACAGCCAGGCUUCCAGUCUCUCACCUGAAAAAGAGAGGUCCAAACACAAACAGCGUGGCAGGGAAUGCUAGAGAUGCCCUCAUAACACUGGUGACAAACUAGACGAGAUCUUUCAAACCCUCACUCUGAAAGACAACUAGAAUAGCUAGGCCUUACCAAUUUCCAACUAGGAUUCAUGACUGAUGGAAUCAGGUUUUACAGUUCCUAAUUUUUCCAAGUUUUGAGUAGUUUUUUUU
rnacentral:lncRNA from 10 species